GCUGGCGGCAGGCCUCAAACAUGCAAGUCUAGGGGGUGUAGCAAUACAUCACCGGCGGACGGGUGCGUAACACGUGGGAAUAUACCUUUUGGUUCGGAACAACGCAGGGAAACUUGCGCUAAUACCGAAUGUGCCCUUGCGGGGAAAGAUUUAUCGCCAAAGGAUUAGCCCGCGUCCGAUUAGCUAGUUGGUGAGGUAACGGCUCACCAAGGCUCCGAUCGGUAGCUGUUCUGAGAGGAAGAUCAGCCACACUGGGACUGAGACACGGCCCAGACUCCUACGGGAGGCAGCAGUUGGGAAUCUUGGACAAUGGGGGAAACCCUGAUCCAGCCAUGCCGCGUGAGUGCUGAAGGCCUUCGGGUUGUAAAACUCUUUCGACGGGGACGAUAAUGACGGUACCCGUAGAAGAAGCUCCGGCUAACUUCGUGCCAGCAGCCGCGGUAAUACGAAGGGGGCUAGCGUUGUUCUGAAUUACUGGGCGUAAAGCGCGCGCAGGCGGUUUUUCAAGUCAGUGGUGAAAGCCCGGAGCUCAACCUCCGGAACUGCCAUUGAAACUGUGAAACUUGAGGAUGA
rnacentral:rRNA from 1 species